UACAGAGGGUGCAAGCGUUAAUCGGAAUUACUGGGCGUAAAGCGUGCGUAGGCGGUUCGUUAAGUCAGCUGUGAAAGCCCCGGGCUCAACCUGGGAACUGCGGUUGAAACUGGCGAACUAGAAUCUGGCAGAGGGGGGUGGAAUUCCACGUGUAGCAGUGAAAUGCGUAGAGAUGUGGAGGAACACCGAUGGCGAAGGCAGCCCCCUGGGCUGAGAUUGACGCUCAGGCACGAAAGCGUGGGGAGCAAACAGG
rnacentral:rRNA from 1 species